CAAACAAGAAUUAGUAAUUCCAGAAGUUGAAGUGAAACUACAGGAGAAAUCUGAAGUUGGUAAACAAGUUGAAAAGCCAAAAACAGAAGUGAUUGAGAAACCAGAGGAGCCUUUGGAAGUUAUUCCUAUCAAAUCAGAAGCAUUACUAGUAAAAGAUGCGGAAGAUUCAGAACCAGUGUUCAAAGAAGAUGAUAAACCAGAAUCAGAAUUAGUAAUUCCUGAAAUGGAGGUGAAAUUGGAGGAACAAUCCGAAGUCAUUAAAAAAGUUGAACCAGAAGAGAAAUCAGUUGAAGUAAUCGCCAAAACACAGGAGCUGGAAGUUCUUCCUACCAAAGAAUCAGAAGCAGUUCUUGUAAAAGAUAUUGAUGGCUCACAAGAAUUGUCUAAAGAAGCUGAUAAAGUAGAAGCAGUAGCUCCUGAACCCAGGGAAGUGAAAAUGGAGUCUGAAGUCACUGAACAAGUAGAAAAAACAGGGGAGAAAUCUGUUGAAGCUAUUGAGAAAACACAGGAUUCAUCGGAAGUUCAUCCUAUUAAAGAAUCAGAAGCAGUUGCAGUAAAAGAUAUCAAUGAUUCAGUAGCAGUGCCUGAAGUUGAUAAACCAGAAUCAGCAGUUCCUGAAGUUGAGGUUAAACAAGAAAAGCAAUCUGAAGUAAUUGAACAAGUGGAAAAACCAGAAUCAGCGGUUCCUCAGGUUGAGGUGAAAUUGGUGGAACAACCUGAAGUAACUGAACAAGUUGAAAAACCAGAAUCAUUGGGUCCUGAGGUUGAGGUGAAACCAGAAGAACAACCUGAAGUCACUACACAUACGGAAAAACAAAAGAAACAUGAAGUAGAGUUGAAAACUGAGGCACGAUCUGAAGUUAGUGAACAGGUUGAGAUUAAGCCAACUAAUGAAAAGCCAGAGGAAGUAGCUGGAAUUACUCAGGAGGCUGAAGUUGAUGUCAAAGAGGAUAUAGGAAAAUCUUCUCUUCCUGAAGUUGUAGGAAAGGUUGGUCCAGAAGAUGAAAAAAGAGAGGCUGAAGGAACUGAUCCGGUUGAAGUGCCAGUAAAAGAGGUUGUGGUAGAAGCGGAAAAGGGUG
rnacentral:lncRNA from 1 species